rnacentral:rRNA from 1 species
AUUGAACGCUGGCGGCAGGCCUAACACAUGCAAGUCGAGCGAGCGGCGAACGGGUGAGUAAUGUAUGGGGACUGCCCUAUUGAGGGGGAUAACCACUGGAAACGGUGGCUAAUACCCCAUAUUGCUGGAUAACCGAUAUGGGAUUAGUUAGUAGGUAAGGUAAUGGCUUACCUAGGCGACGAUCCCUAGCUGGUCUGAGAGGUUGAUCAGCCACACUGGGACUGAGACACGGCCCAGACUCCUACGGAGGCAGCAGUGGGGAAUAUUGCACAAUGGGCGCAAGCCUGAUGCAGCCAUGCCGCGUGUAUGAAGAAGGCCCUAGGGUUGUAAAGUACGUUCAGUCGGGAGGCGUUACCGACAGAAGAAGCACCGGCUAACUCCGUGCCAGCCGCCGCGGUAAUAC